rnacentral:rRNA from 1 species
CCUACGGGAGGCAGCAGUGGGGAAUAUUGCACAAUGGGCGCAAGCCUGAUGCAGCGACGCCGCGUGCGGGAUGACGGCCUUCGGGUUGUAAACCGCUUUUGUUGGGGAGCAAGCCUUCGGGUGAGUGUACCCUUCGAAUAAGCACCGGCUAACUACGUGCCAGCAGCCGCGGUAAUACGUAGGGUGCAAGCGUUAUCCGGAAUUAUUGGGCGUAAAGGGCUCGUAGGCGGUUCGUCGCGUCCGGUGUGAAAGUCCAUCGCUUAACGGUGGAUCCGCGCCGGGUACGGGCGGGCUUGAGUGCGGUAGGGGAGACUGGAAUUCCCGGUGUAACGGUGGAAUGUGUAGAUAUCGGGAAGAACACCAAUGGCGAAGGCAGGUCUCUGGGCCGUUACUGACGCUGAGGAGCGAAAGCGUGGGGAGCGAACAGGAUUAGAUACCCUGGUAGUCCACGCCGUAAACGGUGGAUGCUGGAUGUGGGGCCCGUUCCACGGGUUCCGUGUCGGAGCUAACGCGUUAAGCAUCCCGCCUGGGGAGUACGGCCGCAAGGCUAAAACUCAAAGAAAUUGACGGGGGCCCGCACAAGCGGCGGAGCAUGCGGAUUAAUUCGAUGCAACGCGAAGAACCUUACCUGGGCUUGACAUGUUCCCGACAGCCCCAGAGAUGGGGCCUCCCUUCGGGGCGGGUUCACAGGUGGUGCAUGGUCGUCGUCAGCUCGUGUCGUGAGAUGUUGGGUUAAGUCCCGCAACGAGCGCAACCCUCGCCCCGUGUUGCCAGCGGAUUAUGCCGGGAACUCACGGGGGACCGCCGGGGUUAACUCGGAGGAAGGUGGGGAUGACGUCAGAUCAUCAUGCCCCUUACGUCCAGGGCUUCACGCAUGCUACAAUGGCCGGUACAACGGGAUGCGACAUGGCGACAUGGAGCGGAUCCCUGAAAACCGGUCUCAGUUCGGAUUGGAGUCUGCAACCCGACUCCAUGAAGGCGGAGUCGCUAGUAAUCGCGAAUCAGCAACGUCGCGGUGAAUGCGUUCCCGGGCCUUGUACACACCGCCCGUCAAGUCAUGAAAGUGGGUAGCACCCGAAGCCGGUGGCCCAACCUUUUGGGGGGAGCCGUCUAAGGUGAGACUCGUGAUUGGGACUAAGUCGUAACAAGGUAGCCGUACCGGAAGGGGCGGCUG